CCUCUCUGGAAAAACCUUUAAAUCCAAUAUGACAACAAAAUCAAACAAGAAUUAUGAACCUGACUUUAUCCAGUCCAUUUGCACACUUAAA